rnacentral:rRNA from 1 species
UACGUAGGGGCUAGCGUUAUCCGGAAUUACUGGGCGUAAAGGGUGCGUAGGUGGUUUCUUAAGUCAGAGGUGAAAGGCUACGGCUCAACCGUAGUAAGCCUUUGAAACUGGGAAACUUGAGUGCAGGAGAGGAGAGUGGAAUUCCUAGUGUAGCGGUGAAAUGCGUAGAUAUUAGGGGGAACACCAGUUGCGAAGGCGGCUCUCUGGACUGUAACUGACACUGAGGCACGAAAGCGUGGGGAGCAAACAGGAUUAGAUACCCUGGUAGUCCCUGAGCGGG